GACGAACGCUGGCGGCGUGCUUAACACAUGCAAGUCGAACGGAAAGGCCCUGCUCUUGCGCCGUUCUCGAGUGGCGAACGCGUGUGUAUCACGUGUGUAACCUGUCCUUGACUUUGGGAUAACAUCAGGAGAAUGGGGCGAAUAUCGGAUAGGAGCUCCUGCUGCAUGGGGUGGGUUGGAAAGUUUCGGCGGUUGGGGAUGGAAUCGCGGCUUAUCAGCUUGUUGGUGGGGUAGUGGCUUACCACGGCUUUGACGGGUAGCCGGCCUGAGAGGGUGACCGGCCACAAUGGGACUGAGGUACGGCCCAGACGCCUACGGGAGGCAGCGGUGGAAAGUAUUGCGCAAUGGGCGGAAGCCUGAUACAGAGGCGCCGGGUGCGGGAUGCCGGCCUUCGGGGUAUAAACCGCUUUCGCCUGUGACGAAGCGUGAGUGACGGUAAUGAGUAAGAAAGCAACGGCUAACUACGUG
rnacentral:rRNA from 1 species